rnacentral:rRNA from 1 species
AAUUUGAAAUCUGGCCCCUUCGGGGUCCGAGUUGUAAUUUGUAGAGAGUGCUUCGGGUGAGACUGCGGUCUAAGUCCAUUGGAACAUGGCGUCCCAGAGGGUGAGAAUCCCGUAUGUGACCGCGGCUCGAGCCCAUGUGAAGCCUCUUCGACGAGUCGAGUUGUUUGGGAAUGCAGCUCUAAAUGGGUGGUAAAUUUCAUCUAAAGCUAAAUACUGGCUGGAGACCGAUAGCGCACAAGUAGAGUGAUCGAAAGAUGAAAAGCACUUUGGAAAGAGGGUUAAACAGUACGUGAAAUUGUUGAAAGGGAAGCGCUGGCAACCAGACCUGUCCGUAGGCGAUCACCCGUUGUUCUCAGCGGUGCACUCGUUCUGCGAUCAGGCCAGCAUCGGUUCGGGCGGGCGGAUAAAGGUCUUGGGAAUGUAGCUCCCUCUCGGGGGAGUCUUAUAGCCCUCGAUGCAAUGCGCCCAGCCGGGACCGAGGACCGCGCUUCGGCUAGGAUGCUGGCGUAAUGGUUGUCAGCGACCC